CUUUGAUAUUAACUUACCCCUAAUAUCCGCCAGGGAACUACAAGCGUUAGCUUAAAACCCAAAGGACUUGGCGGUGCCUCACACCCACCUAGAGGAGCCUGUUCUUGAAUCGAUAAUCCCCGUUCAACCUCACCACCCCUUGUUAGACCCGCCUAUAUACCGCCGUCGUCAGCUCACCCUGUGAAGGACUUAAAGUGAGCAAAAUGGGCAAAACCCAGAACGUCAGGUCAAGGUGCAGCGUAUGGGGUGGGAAGAAAUGGGCUACAUUACCUAUUGCAGGUUACUACGAAUGGGGCCGUGAAACCGGCCCCUGAAGGUGGAUUUAGCAGUAAGGGGGAAAUAGAGAGUUCUCCUGAAGCCGGCUCUGAGGCGCGCACACACCGCCCGUCACC
rnacentral:rRNA from 1 species